UGAACGCUGGCGGCGUGCCUAAUACAUGCAAGGCGAGCGAACAGACGAGGAGCUUGCUCCUCUGACGUUAGCGGCGGACGGGUGAGUAACACGUGGAUAACCUACCUAUAAGACUGGGAUAACUUCGGGAAACCGGAGCUAAUACCGGAUAAUAUAUUGAACCGCAUGGUUCAAUAGUGAAAGACGGUUUUGCUGUCACUUAUAGAUGGAUCCGCGCCGCAUUAGCUAGUUGGUAAGGUUACGGCUUACCAAGGCAACGAUGCGUAGCCGACCUGAGAGGGUGAUCGGCCACACUGGAACUGAGACACGGUCCAGACUCCUACGGGAGGCAGCAGUAGGGAAUCUUCCGCAAUGGGCGAAAGCCUGACGGAGCAACGCCGCGUGAGUGAUGAAGGUCUUCGGAUCGUAAAACUCUGUUAUUAGGGAAGAACAAAUGUGUAAGUAACUAUGCACGUCUUGACGGUACCUAAUCAGAAAGCCACGGCUAACUACGUG
rnacentral:rRNA from 1 species